GUAGUCUGCAACCGACUACAUGAAGCUGGAAUCGCUAGUAAUCGCGGAUCAGAAUGCCGCGGUGAAUACGUUCCCGGGUCUUGUACACACCGCCCGUCACACCAUGGGAGUCGGAAAUGCCCGAAGUCUGUGACCCAACCUUAGGGAGGGAGCAGCCGAAGGCAGGUCGGAUGACUGGGGUGAAGUCGUAACAAGGUACC
rnacentral:rRNA from 1 species